CAGAUGCCUUCCGCACCGACCUACGGGGUCCCCGGGAAGACAUCUUUCCGUAAGUGGUCUGGCACACAGAAGCGCCGUCACCUUCACACACGGAAGUGACGCGUCAAACGUCCUGGUUCCUGGACAGUGAAAUAUGGCGGCCUGGGGUCGACGGGGAGCCUUCCUCACACGGAGACACAAGUCAACCUUCAGGAGGUACAUUGAAGGUGGGUCGCCUGCUUUUGAAAUACCUCUUUUGGCAUUUUCACUGUUGCGCGUGGGGACAUUACAACACGUCGCAAUAUUGUAAGUCUCGCUUCCACUUUCGUAAGUAGACUUACUCAAAAGCUCAUUCAGAUAGAAGACGCACUGGUGGGAAAUACAGUGGUACAUGCAAGGCAUUCGAGCUAUUUGAACGAGUUGCAGCAGGAGCUUGAAUGGGUGUCCCAGUGUUGUGUCUGGAGGAGCUCAGACAACUCGCCAUUGGAAGCGAAAAUUGCUGAGAACUGACAGCCUCUGGGAAAUGCCGACAGCAGACAGCCUUACUAAAUUGGGCGUUUAUCAGUGGGUGCCUAGAAGGUGUCCGGGUCUUCAGCAGAGCCGGUUUUGUGUUGGGUACCCAGCGACGUGAUGCUGUCGGAAAGUAGGCACGAUGCGCAACAGUUAACUGAACGCAGCUGAAUCUGAGCCUUUCUUCCAUGAUUAGGUGGGUGCAGCUGGCACAGGCAUGAAGCGUAACAGCAAGCAAAAGGAAGCUGAUUCUGAGCAAUUCUUCCACGACUGGUCAAGCCUUCUGCUGGAAGUGGUCCGAAACAAUAACCAACUGCGACCGCAUCGUCUGGCCAGCGAGAACAUCCACAAAAGCCACUACCGGCUACCAGCAGUGUCCAGCCGGAUGAAAUGGAGAAAAAAGACUGCUCGGUGCCUUGCCAUCUCCUGACUUGAAAGGAGUAAAUCACGGGUCUAGCUCGACCUUGACUGUUUCCGCCUUAGUGUUCGUUUUUCCUCGUAGACCAGUUAUGUACUUCUUUGUUCGGAUGGUACUCGUGCCCUUGCUCUUCAUUGUGUUCUGUUCUUUUUCUUUGAGCGGGUAGACCUGUGUCUCCUGUUCCAUACGGCAGUGCGAGCUUUUCGUCUGUGAGCUCCUUGUUGUCCUGUUGAGAAUAUCAGCUACUUUUAGGGCUCUGCGCCUCAACUCCCAUUCGUUCCAGUGGUACGACGUGUCUCUCUCAAGCGUUUCGAAAUGUACUGGAGUCAUAACCGCAGCGUCGGCAUUCCGAGGCUCGUGAAGCAAAAGGAACAGCUGGUCGGCUGUGGCAGUGUCUUUACCAAAACGUGGUGUUUCUUGCUUCAGACGUGUGGCGAUAUUUCGCUGGAGCUUGAGGAUAUUCCGCAGGCUGGACCUGAU
rnacentral:lncRNA from 1 species